rnacentral:rRNA from 1 species
AGAGCACAGGGGGGAUGCCCUGGCACUGAGAGCCGAAGAAAGACGUGAUAAGCUGCGAAAAGCCGCGGGGAGGAGCAAAUAUCCAUUGAUCCGCGGAUGUCUGAAUGGGGAAACCCACCUGAGGGAACCUCAGGUACCGUUAAAUGAAUCCAUAGUUUAACGGGGGGAACCCGGUGAACUGAAACAUCUAAGUAGCCGGAGGAAAAGAAAACAAAAGUGAUUCCGCGAGUAGCGGCGAGCGAAAGCGGAGGAGCCCAAACCAGGACGCGAGCGUCCUGGGGUUCGGACUGCAUAAGUUACUGCGAUCCCAAGCAGAAAGGCCCUGGGAAGGCCUGCCGCAGAGGGUGAAAGCCCCGUAAGCGAAAGGGAGGACAGGACAGCAGGAUCCAGAGUACCACGAGACACGAGAAACCUUGUGGGAAUGAGCGGGGACCACCCCGUAAGGCUAAAUACUGCUCAGUGACCGAUAGAGAAGAGUACCGUGAGGGAAAGGUGAAAAGGACCCCGGGAGGGGAGUGAAAGAGAACCUGAAACCCUGUGUUUACAAGCUGUGGAAGCACAUAAGGUGCGACCGCGUACUUUUUGUAGAACGGUCCGGCGAGUUGCGUCAGCUGGCGAGGUUAAGUAUUAAAGAUACGGAGCCGAAGCGAAAGCGAGUUUUAAGAGAGCGAAAAGUCAGCUGCUGCAGACCCGAAACCGGGUGAUCUACCCAUGCCCAGGAUGAAGUUUCCGUAAAAGGGAAUGGAGGUCCGAAGCCACAUCCGUUGAAAAGGGUGGGCAUGAGGUGUGGGUAGGGGAGAAAUUCCAAUCGAACCCGGAGAUAGCUGGUUCUCCUCGAAAUAGCUUUAGGGCUAGCCUCGUCCAAGUCUGCCGGAGGUAGAGCACUGAAUUUCCGCGGGGGCGUCAAAGCUUACCAAAGAAUAUCAAACUGCGAAUGCCGGAGAGAUGUUGGACGGGAGUCAGACUGCACGAGAUAAGUUGGGCAGUCAAAAGGGAAAGAGCCCAGACCCGCGGCUAAGGUCCCGGAGUGCGUGUUAAGUGGAAAAGGAUGUGGGAUCUCAAAGACAACCAGGAUGUUGGCUCAGAAGCAGCCAUACAUUAAAAGAGUGCGUAAUAGCUCACUGGUCGAGAGGUGCUGCGCCGAAAAUGUCCGGGGCUGAAACACGCCACCGAAGCCCGGGGAUCAUGCGUUGCAUGAUCGGUAGAGGAGCAUUCCUGAAGCCAUAGAAGCUGAACCGUAAGGGACAGUGGAGGCAGAGGAAGAGAGAAUGCCGGAAUGAGUAGCGAGAAAGAGGUGGGAAUCCUCUUGGCCGAAUAUCCAAGGAUUCCAGGGUAAAGCUGAUCUGCCCUGGGUAAGUCGGGGCCUAAGGCGAGGCGGAGACGCGUAGCCGAUGGACAACAGGUGGAGAUUCCUGUACUGCGUUAUAACAGAACUGCGGGGACACGGGAAGCGAAUGUGGGCCGGGAAAGGAAAGACCGGUGCAAGCGGAGAAGGAGGAGACAGGAAAAACCGUCUCAUAAUCCAAAGCCGUGAUGCGGAGCGAAUGAAAGUAGUGAAGCACAGGAGCUUGCCGUCGAGAAAAGCCGCUAUAGCUUGUAACGCACCCGUACCGUAAACCGACACAGGUGGAUGAGGAGAGAAUCCUAAGGCCGGCGGGAGAAGCAUUGUUAAGGAACUCGGCAAAAUGGCCCCGUAACUUCGGGAGAAGGGGCGCUGCAGAGAUGCAGCCGCAGAGAAUAGGCUCAGGCAACUGUUUAGCAAAAACACAGGUCUAUGCGAAACCGGAAGGUGAGGUAUAUGGGCUGACGCCUGCCCGGUGCUGGAAGGUUAAGGGGAGAGGUCAGGGGAAACCCGAAGCUUUGAACUUAAGCCCCAGUAAACGGCGGCCGUAACUAUAACGGUCCUAAGGUAGCGAAAUUCCUUGUCGGGUAAGUUCCGACCCGCACGAAAGGCGUAAUGAUCUGAGCGCUGUCUCAACAAUGCACCCGGUGAAAUUGAAGUGCCAGUGAAGAUGCUGGCUACCCGCGCCAGGACGGAAAGACCCCAUGGAGCUUUACUCCAGCUUGGCACUGGGACUCGGUGUUUGAUGUACAGGAUAGGUGGGAGGCAGCGAAGUGAGGGCGCCAGUCCUCACAGAGCCGACCUUGGGAUACCACCCUUCAGGCACUGGGUUUCUAACCUGCAGCCGUGAACCGGCUGGGGGACACUGCCUGGCGGGGAGUUUGACUGGGGCGGUCGCCUCCGAAAGGGUAUCGGAGGCGCUCGAAGGUUCCCUCAGAAUGGCCGGAAACCAUUCGAAGAGUGCAAAGGCAGAAGGGGGCCUGACUGCGACACCGACGGGUGGAGCAGGUACGAAAGUAGGACUUAGUGAUCCGGU